rnacentral:lncRNA from 1 species
GUUUGGUGUUUGACGUAAUCCUAUUUGACAUCUUAGUUUUCUGACAGAUGAGCGGACAUUAAUGGAGUCCUAUUGCAGCCUCCGCCAAUAGAGGUCACUGUAGAUGCUGAUGUCUGGCAUCCCUUCAUUUUCAUCUCAAGCUGUGAAUUCAAGGAUGAAUGUGAUGGGAAACACAUUAAAAUGCAUUUUCCAGCACUCCUGCUCAAGAUGAAGGAAAACAUGAUCAAAGAUGUGACUCACACUAACCAAAUCCCACCAGAGAUGUUGGAUACAAAGGAGGAUUGAAGAUUGCUGUUCUGCUGCUACGAUUCAAACACCUCAGAGAUGAAGAGGAUC